CUGCUACCUAGACACCGCCCAGGCCUCAGCACAAGGAGCUCCUAGAGUUGUGCUCUGGAGCACACAGGGAGUGAAAGCCCCCUGCGCUGGAUCCUAAGGCUGGGCACUUCUGGAACAGGCAAGGAAGGAAGAGACCUUUCGGAACUACUGAUUCCUGCAGACUGAAGAGUACUGCUCCUCUUAUUGCCAGAGUCCUCAAACAGUUGCUCAACUUUGACCUGACUUCCAGUCAGAGGAUGAUCUUUCAUACAUUCUACACUGCAAGAUCGCAUGAGAUACUAUCCUAUGCAAUGCUGAAGAAAGUCAGGACUAGUGCAGCAACAUCUGUUAUCCAUUCUGGCCUUUAAUCUCAAUAAAGAUGUGAGACAUG